rnacentral:rRNA from 1 species
UACGUAGGGUGCAAGCGUUGUCCGGAAUCAUUGGGCGUAAAGCGCGCGUAGGUGGUCAUGUAAGUCCGCUGUGAAAGUCAAAGGCUCAACCUUUGAAAGCCGGUGGAUACUGCAUGACUAGAGUCCGGAAGAGGCGAGUGGAACUCCUGGUGUAGCGGUGGAAUGCGCAGAUAUCAGGAAGAACACCAACGGCGAAGGCAGCUCGCUGGGACGGAACUGACGCUGAGGCGCGAAAGCGUGGGGAGCGAACAGG